rnacentral:rRNA from 1 species
CCUACGGGUGGCAGCAGUGAGGAAUAUUGGUCAUUGGGCGAGAGCCUGAACCAGCCAAGUCGCGUGAGGGAGGAAGGAACUAUGUUUGGUAAACUUCUUUUAUAUGGGAAUAAAGGGAGGAACGUGUUCCUGUAUGUGUGUACCACAAGAAUAAGCAUCGGCUAACUCCGUGCCAGCAGCCGCGGUAAUACGGAGGAUGCGAGCGUUAUCCGGAUUUAUUGGGUUAAAAGGGUGCGUAGGCGGACUGCCAAGUCAGCGGUAAAAUCGCGGGGCUCAACCCCGCUCCGCCGUUGAAACGGGCGGGCUUGAGUGGGAGAGAAGUAUGCGGAAUGCGUGGUGUAGCGGUGAAAUGCAUAGAUAUCACGCAGAACACCGAUUGCGAAGGCAGCAUACCGGCGCCCAACUGACGCUGAGGCACGAAAGCGUGGGGAUCGAACAGGAUUAGAUACCCUUGUAGUC